UCACUCUGUAGACCAGGCUGGCCUCUGCCUACCGAGUGCUGGGAUUAAAGGCAUGCGCCACCACGCCCGGCCAGCUAACACUUCUUAAUGGAAGUGGGUGCACUCUGGAGCCAGGCGGAUCUCUAUGAGUUCAAGGCCAGCCUGGUCUAUUUAGUGACUUCUAAGACAGCCAGACCUACAUAGUGAGACCCUGUCUGGAAAAAAAAAAAAAAAAAAAACUGGCAGCAGCAACAAGAAAAAAAAAAGAGGAAGAUGAUGAAUUUCUUCCUUACAAUGCUGCAAUAUUUUCUUGACACUAUAUUUUACCUCCAACAUUCCUUCCACUGCUCCUGGUUCUGUUUGGGUCUCCUAUUUUUGGAUUGAAGUGACCUUUCUGCCCACAGACUCUGUUUCUGCCAUCUUAAAAUGGGCAAUUAAAGUUUUUGGAACACUUUCUUUUUUUCUUUUUUUUUUUUUUCUUUAGUUUUUCGAGACAGGGUUUUUCUAUAUAGCCCUGGCUGUCCUGGAACUCACUUUGUAGAAAUCUGCCUGCCUCUGCCUCCCGAGUGCUGGGAUUAAAGGCAUGCGCCACCAUGCCCGGCUUCUGGAACACUUUCUGAUGUAUCUCUAUCCCAUCUCCAAUUGACUGAGGGCUAUACCUGUGUUCAGUUUCUGCCAUUUAUCCCAGAAAUUGCAGUCAGUCUGUCCUUGAGUCAAGCUCUUCUGUAGGUAACCUCUCAUACAAUUAUCUAAUUCUGGGUGCCUUGAAAAUACUUUGAACAUCAAUCCACAGAGAGAAGUAGGUUCUAACCGUGGUGUAAGCUACUCAAAUAAGCACCUAAGAGGCAGAGGCAGGUGGAUCUCUGAAAUCGAGUCCACCCUGGUCUACAGGGUGAGUUCCAGGACAGCCAGAGCAAUGUAGUGAGACACUGUCUAGAACAAACCAAGAAAAAAGUAGUUUCUUUCCUGUAAUCCAGUGUAUACACACACACACCCAUGAAAUUUAAUCUACCAUACUAAUACAAUGUAGCAUAGAGUGAAAAUGAUGGCAGUCAAAGGACAGCCUUGUGGAGUCUGUUCUCUCCUUCCAAGUGGCCAACCUUACAUAGCAAGUACCUUUACCUAAUGAAUGAUCUGGUUGGCCUAGAAUUUUUUAAAUGCUAAUUUCUAGUUUUUAACAUAUUUUCCUACACAGUAAUAAUUAUAUAAGACUGGUUUGCUACACAUAUCUAGCAUAAAAGUGUUCUAUACUUUUUCAUUAUAAAUGCUCUGUAGCAACAGUUCAGAUUGUGACAUUACCAAAGUUUUUGUUUAGCUUGUCUAAAAGCAUAUUACCAUAUUUAUUGUAUCAGUGCUGAAUAAAGUUUUUAUUUU
rnacentral:lncRNA from 1 species